rnacentral:rRNA from 1 species
AUUAAACGCUGGCGGCAUGCCUUACACAUGCAAGUCGAACGGCAGCACGGGGGCAACCCUGGUGGCGAGUGGCGGACGGGUGAGUAAAGCAUCGGAACGUAUCCUGGAGUGGGGGGAUAACGUAGCGAAAGUUACGCUAAUACCGCAUAUUCUGUGAGCAGGAAAGCAGGGGAUCGCAAGACCUUGCGCUCUGGGAGCGGCCGAUGUCGGAUUAGCUAGUUGGUGGGGUAAAGGCCUACCAAGGCGACGAUCCGUAGCGGGUCUGAGAGGAUGAUCCGCCACACUGGGACUGAGACACGGCCCAGACUCCUACGGGAGGCGGCAGUGGGGAAUUUUGGACAAUGGGCGCAAGCCUGAUCCAGCCAUGCCCGCGUGAGUGAAGAAGGCCUGGUU